rnacentral:rRNA from 1 species
GAUGAACGCUAGCGGCAGGCUUAAUACAUGCAAGUCGAGGGGCAGCAUGGUGUAGCAAUACACUGAUGGCGACCGGCAAACGGGUGCGGAACACGUACAGAACCUUCCUUCGAGCGGGGAAUAGCCCAGAGAAAUUUGGAUUAAUACCCCAUAGCAUAUUAGAAAGGCAUCUUUUUAAUAUUAAAGAUUUAUCACUUGAAGAUGGCUGUGCGGCUGAUUAGGUAGUUGGCGGGGUAACGGCCCACCAAGCCUACGAUCAGUAACUGGUGUGAGAGCACGACCAGUCACACGGGCACUGAGACACGGGCCCGACUCCGACGGGAGGCAGCAGUAAGGAAUAUUGGUCAAUGGACGAAAGUCUGAACCAGCCAUGCCGCGUGGAGGAUGAAGGUCCUCUGGAUUGUAAACUUCUUUUAUAUGGGACGAAAAAAGACUUUUCUAGGUCGCCUGACGGUACCAUAUGAAUAAGCACCGGCUAACUCCGUGCCAGCAGCCGCAGUAAUAC